rnacentral:rRNA from 1 species
UACGUAGGGUCCGAGCGUUGUCCGGAAUUAUUGGGCGUAAAGAGCUCGUAGGCGGUUUGUCGCGUCUGCUGUGAAAUCCCGAGGCUCAACCUCGGGUCUGCAGUGGGUACGGGCAGACUGGAGUGCGGUAGGGGAGAAUGGAAUUCCUGGUGUAGCGGUGGAAUGCGCAGAUAUCAGGAGGAACACCGAUGGCGAAGGCAGGUCUCUGGGCAUUAACUGACGCUGAGGAGCGAAAGCAUGGGGAGCGAACAGG